rnacentral:rRNA from 1 species
CGCGGCCUAUCAGCUUGUUGGUGGGGUGAUGGCCUACCAAGGCUUUGACGGGUAGCCGGCCUGAGAGGGUGACCGGCCACACUGGGACUGAGACACGGCCCAGACUCCUACGGGAGGCAGCAGUGGGGAAUAUUGCGCAAUGGGCGGAAGCCUGACGCAGCGACGCCGCGUGAGGGAUGUCGGCCUUCGGGUUGUAAACCUCUUUCAGCUCUGACGAAGCCUUUCGGGGUGACGGUAGGGGCAGAAGAAGCGCCGGCUAACUACGUGCCAGCAGCCGCGGUAAGACGUAGGGCGCGAGCGUUGUCCGGAUUUAUUGGGCGUAAAGAGCUCGUAGGCGGCUUGUCGCGUCGGCCGUGAAAUGCUGCAGCUUAACUGUGGGAUUGCGGUCGAUACGGGCAGGCUAGAGUUCGGUAGGGGAGACUGGAAUUCCUGGUGUAGCGGUGAUAUGCGCAGAUAUCAGGAGGAACACCGGUGGCGAAGGCGGGUCUCUGGGCCGAUACUGACGCUGAGGAGCGAAAGCGUGGGGAGCGAACAGGAUUAGAUGCCCUGGUAGUCCAUGCUGUAAACGUUGGGCGCUAGGUGUGGGGACCCUUCCCGGGUUUCUGUGCCGUAGCUAACGCAUUAAGCGCCCCGCCUGGGGAGUACGG